AGCUCAGAACCGCUGCGUUAACCCAGCCCCGGAAAUAACGUACCGAUCUUCGGAGUCCAAGUCGGAAGUUGACUAGAGAGUCACCUGCUUUCGUCCGCUCUAGGACACCAGACACACCAGGCCGCCAUGUUGUGUAAGCUUCUUAUGAAGAUUCCCAGUAUAAAUGCAACAGCUGGAGUUACCUACAAAUAUACAAACUGAAAGAAAAGAAAUAUUAUGGUUGGCUAUUUGGGAGUCUCCUGAAAUGAAAACAUACCUGGACAGUUAGCAUGAUCAGAGAGCAUCUAAAUCAAUCAAGGAAGAACAGAGGGAAUUGAACUUGCCACAACUGCUGCUUUAAGAAAAAAAAAAAAAAAGGUACUUUGCUGGGAAUGGUGGCUCGUGCCUGUAAUCCCAGCUACUUGGGAGACUGGAGUGGGAGGAUUGCUUGAGGCCAGGUGUUCAAGACCAGCCUGGGCAACACGGCAAGACUCAGUCUCAUUUAAAACAAAAAAGAAGGUACUUUGAUAGGUGCAACAUAUUUCUCAUACCUUGUAUCUAUCCAUUGGGUCUUCCUGUUGCAGCUGACUCUCUCGCAUUGUCUGAUAUUCUUUCUCAUAUUUCUUCAACUUCUUGGUUGGCACCUGUAGGGAUUUGAGGAAAACCAUGUUAGACAAGGACACCAUUUAUGAAAAAAAAUUCAGGUGUGUUUGCUAGUUAAAUUUCUGGCAUUCUAAGGGAACAUGCUCAACUCAAAGUUAGGAGAAAAACAGAGAUUCCAGAGGAGGGGUUGGCAAACUUUUCCUGUAAAGGUCCAGACAGUAUAUAUUUUAGGCCUUGUGGGCCAUAUAGUCUAAGUUGCAAAGAUUCAACUCUGUCAUUAUUAUACAAAACCUGCCAUGGGUGAUACCUAAACAAAUGAGCCUGGCUGUGUUCCAAGAAAACUUAAUUUACAGAAACAGGCUACAGUUUGUCCACCUCUGUUAUAAAUAAUAUUGCUGAUGUCACAACCUUCUCUUGUUAAUGUAUUUAAUAGUGCUAUUAAUUUUAACUUUCUUAAAUAUAAUUCACUCAUAUCCUUC